UGUGUGUGCACUGCAAAAACACUUUUGUUAUUGUGACACAGUUUGCUACCAGCACAAAAUGUUAUCUUGACAAAACGUUUGUCAAUUUCCUGCAAUUAUUGUUAUAACGACAAAUCAUAGUUUAUUUAACUAUUAAUAUAGUUUAUCUAACUAUUAAUAUUUGUUAUUAUAAUGGUAGAUUGUUAUUUGAACACAUGUGUUGUCAUUUUAUCGAAGCAUUGUUGAUCUCACAUUUAGUGGAAGUUACCGUUCAUUGUCAAAUUAACAUUAAUGUGUGACAAUAACAAAUUAUAAAGUUACAGCUAGAACUCUACUAAAAGAUACGUGCAAGUUUGCAUCACUGAUUUCAACCUACUCAACCUAUACUCGAUUACCCUAGCUCGUAAUAAAUUGUCUACACUGAAACAUCUCAGUUGCCCUGAUGCUUAUAUCUUUGCAUGCUCAUGUUCAAUUGUGUAUGUAGCAAUUGGAGACUUGUGACUGGGCAUGGUAAGUUACGGUGGCAGUGAAGAAGUCAGGAGCCUCCAGAGUCUUUCAGUGCAGUGCAGUGCAGGCAGCCUUCUCUCUAUAGCCUCCUUCACUAGGCCUGGCCUGAAGAGCGGCCUGGGAUCGAGCUUCUCUCUAGCCUCUAACUCUAGCUAGUCUCGAGGCCAGGAGAGUUUGGCCUCGAGACUAUAAUUAUAAGCUGGAACUAUAGGUGUGGCAUGAGGGGGCGUUCAGGAAUAACAGGGCAAGGCCUCAAACAUACUUAGCACAUGGGUGCUUGCAGCUGCACCAGACUGCAGCUGCUCAUGCAGCUUUAUACUAUCAUAUCACUGACUGCAUGCCUGUACCCCUGGCCCUGGGCUACCAUGUUCCAUGUACACCAGCUAGGAUCUAGGAGUCAAGAGUCACCUGCAUCUGGAGCUUGAAAGAAAAGACAAUUGCAAAUUUUCUUAAGAGUAGAUAGUACCACCAUCUCAAAGAAAAAAGUUAAGUUCCAUUGCAUGCUGUUGGCGCAUGGCAUGUACAUGAUCCCAAAACUCUCUGAAUUCACAGUUUACAAAUCACUUAGUGCUAUACCGUAUCGGCGUAUAACUCCACCAUGUACCAGCUUCAAAGAAAAAGGAUUUAAGCUGCAGAUUUUACCGUACCUCGGCCCCACAAUGUGUACCAGCUAGGAUCUAGGAGUCUACUUAACCACCUUCAUCGACUUCAAAGAAACGACUUGCAAGUUAUGUCAGAUUCCAUAAAACUAUAUAGCUAGCUAGAGGGCAACUGUCCCUGGUUUCGACCUUCAUCUGUAGCAUACUGAUUUACGAGUUUGUGUCUUCAUGCACUGGUUUCGACUGGUCAACUUCGUCCAUGGGGUGAUAGCUAGCAUUGUAAUUUACCAGUUUGUGUGUAUGUGUCCUCAUGCGUCAGUUACACUGGUUUCGACUGGUCAACUUCGUCCAUGGGGUGAUAGCUAGCAUUGUAAUUUACCAGUUUGUGUGUAUGUGUCCUCAUGCGUCAGUUACACUGGUUUCAACUGGUCAACUUCGUCCAUGGGGUGAUAGCUAGCAUUGUAAUUUACCAGUUUGUGUGUAUGUGUCCUCAUGCGUCAGUUACACUGGUUUCGACUGGUCAACUUCGUCCAUGGGGUGAUAGCUAGCAUUGUAAUUUACCAGUUUGUGUGUAUGUGUCCUCACGUGUCAGUUACACUGGUUUCGACUGGUCAACUUUGUCCAUGGGGUGAUAGCUAGCAUACUGAUUUGCGAGUUUGUGUGUAUGUGUCCUCACGUGUCAGUUACACUGGUUUCGACUGGUCAACUUCGUCCAUGGGGUGAUAGCUAGCAUACUGAUUUAUGAGUUUGUGUGUAUGUGUCCUCAUGUGUCAGUUACACUGGUUUCGACUGGUCAACUUCGUCCAUGGGGUGAUAGCUAGCAUACUGAUUUACGAUUUUGUGUGUAUGUGUCCUCACGUGUCAGUUACACUGGUUUCGACUGGUCAACUUCGUCCAUGGGGUGAUAGCUAUAGCAUACUGAUUUACGAGUUUGUGUGUAUAUGUGUCCUCACGUGUCAGUUACACUGGUCAACUUCGUCCAUGGGGGUGAUAGCUUAUACUAUUUACAUUUUGCACUACAUAUGUGUUGGUAACUAUAGUGACUUCAAUCUUUUGUUCUGUAGGGGCUUAUUGUGACGAAAAGGAUCUGAGGGAUGUAGCGUUCAUGAAACCAAACAAAACGCCUGCAGUUCACUGUACUGGAAUUUCAAGAAACGCUAAGUAAUGAACACUAAAAACAAUUUACUGACAGAAGAAAUGUAUUGUGCUGCAUGUCAUGUGAUCCAGUGAUCUUAUUCUAUCAUAAACUCAUUGUUCUAAU